rnacentral:rRNA from 1 species
UACAGAGGGGGCAAGCGUUGUUCGGAAUUACUGGGCGUAAAGGGCGCGUAGGCGGCCCGCUAAGUCGAACGUGAAAUCCCCGAGCUCAACUCGGGAACUGCGUCCGAUACUGGUGGGCUUGAAUCCGGGAGAGGGAUGCGGAAUUCCAGGUGUAGCGGUGAAAUGCGUAGAUAUCUGGAGGAACACCGGUGGCGAAGGCGGAUCUCUGGGCCUUACCUGACGCUGAGGAGCGAAAGCAUGGGGAGCAAACAGG